AAAAAAUAAAAAUCUAAAUCAAUUUAACUUUGUCAAUGAACAGUUAAAAUCAUCUGUACGAAAAGAAGAAGGAAGGCAAAGAAGAGAGGCCGUUAACCUAAAUAUCUCGAUCAGAUCUGACUAAGCAUUGGCGUACAUCCUCUCACGCGCAUCAUUAUCGCGAUCACCCGGUUCUCAUUCUCUCUCUUUAUCUCCCGUUACGAUUUCCUCUACUUUCAGAUAACUAAUUAAAUGAAUUUAAAAAUCUCCUUUCACAUGAUUACGUGAAAUUCUUUGAAAUUUCUAUUUCAUUGCCCAACAUUAGAACAGAAGAAUUGAAAAAUGACAAUGAGAAUCAAUUAGAUUGAUUUUUUUCAUGAAAGUAUUAAUAUGCAACGAUUAGUUAAUUAAUAUAGUGAAAAGGAAAUUCGAAAAUGAAAGAUAAAAAGUGAGAAUCAAUAAUGUUCGUCCUUGUUCGUUAGUGAAUUGAAUAAAAAUGGAAAGUGUAUUGUUGCAAUUUAUGUUGAAGAAUCGAUUUAAUUAUGUGUUAAUUUUGAUCGUGUGAAGGUUAGGAUUGACCCAAGAUUCAGACACUUGCCAACCAAGUUAACAGGAUUUGAUGUUGGAAAAUUUCAAAAACUAUUAAAUCACCACUUCGCUCACUGAUUCGAUACGAUGUAAUAGAUUUUAUGGAUGAGGAAGCAUACGUCGUUUCGUUUUACACAUUCAUAGCUGGUGAAAUACGAUUUUACUUAUUUAUUUCGUAUAUUAGAUACUGUGUUAAUAGGUGGCAAAACUUCGAGAUAAAUAUUGAAGUUUCCGCUCCGAUUCCAUUCCACUUCUAACAUUUCUAACUAUUGAAGUGUUUCGUUUCAGUUCACUAAAAUUUAUGUAUAUAUAGCAUCUUUUUUCCACCUGAUUAAAUUCUGGUCUUUCCGCUUUGAAUAAUUUAAAUAUUUAUUGUUCUGUUCAGAUCCGUGUCAUUUCUUUUCAUCCGAGAUUUUACUGUUAGAAUUCGU